GCGAAUGAUGAUACUUUUUAACUCGUAGCACCAUGUGGGUGCGUUGAAGAUCAAAAACACGCAACAACAAACACUCUAAUUUUUUGCUGACC
rnacentral:snoRNA from 1 species